ACCUUCAAUAUGCUGACUGUGCCAUUCUUGCGCACACUGAGGAAAACCUCCAGACUGCGCUGGAUCUCUUUGCAGAAGUCUAUUGAACUUUGGGCCGCUCUCUUAACAUCAAGAAGACUAAAGUGCUCUGUCAGCCUGCUCCAGGCCAUGAAUAUGAUCCUCUUCCUCAAAUUACUGUUGAGGAAAAGAAUCUGGAGGUAGUUGAGCACUUCUCUUACCUUGGUAGUCACUUUUCUCAGAGACUAAAUGUUGAUGAGGAGAUCCAGC